GCAGUGGUGGUUCAGUGGCAGAAUUCUUGCCUUUGGUGCAGGAGACCCAGGUUCAAUUCCUGGCCAAUGCG